UACGGGGGGAGCAAGCGUUGUUCGGAUUUACUGGGCGUAAAGGGCUCGUAGGCGGCCAACUAAGUCGGAUGUGAAAUCCCCAAGCUUAACUUGGGAACUGCAUCCGAUACUGGAUGGCUUGAAUCCGGGAGAGGGAUGCAGAAUUCCAGGUGUAGCGGUGAAAUGCGUAGAUAUCUGGAGGAAUACCGGUGGCGAAGGCGGCAUCCUGGACCGGCAUUGACGCUGAGGAGCGAAAGCUAGGGGAGCAAACGGG
rnacentral:rRNA from 1 species